rnacentral:rRNA from 1 species
UACGUAGGGGGCAAGCGUUGUCCGGAUUUAUUGGGCGUAAAGAGCGUGUAAGCGGUCUGGUAGGUCCGUUGUGAAAACUCGAGGCUCAACCUCGAGACGCCGAUGGAAACCCUCAGACUAGAGUCCGGAAGAGGAGAGUGGAAUUCCUGGUGUAGCGGUGAAAUGCGCAGAUAUCAGGAAGAACACCCGUGGCUAAGGCGGCUCUCUAGUACGUGACUGACGCUGAGACGCGAAAGCGUGGGGAGCGAACAGG